AUGACUGUGUUUUCAGGGCAGCUGCCGAAGACGGCGGAGGGACAGGUCCUGGUGCUGGAUGGUCACGGCCAACUCCUGGGCCGCCUGGCGGUUAUCGUGGCUAAGUAGGUACUGCUGGGCCGGAAGGUGUUGGUCGUACGCUGUGAAGGCAUCAACCUUUCUGGCAAUUUCUACAGAAACAAGUUGAAGUACCUGGCUUUCCUCUGCAAGCCGGUGAACACAAACUCUUCGAGAGGCCCUCGCCACUUCCGGGCUCCCAGCCGCAUCUUCCGGUGGACCGUGCGAGGCAUGCUGCCCCACAACAUCAAGCAAGGCCACGGUGUUCUGGACCGCCUCGAGGCGUUUGACGGCAUCCCACCGCCCUACAAGAAAAAGCGGAUGGUGAUUCCUGCCACCCUCAAGGUUGUACGUCUGAAUCCUACAAAAAAAUUUGCCUAUCUGGGGCGCCUGGCUCACGAGGUUGGCUGGAAGUACCAGGCAGUGACAGCCACCCUGGAGGAGAAGAGGAAGGAGAAAGCCAAGAUCCACUACCGGAAGAAGAAACAGCUCAUGAGGCCGAGAAGAACCUGGAGAAGAAAACUGACAAAUACACAGAGGUCCUCAAGACCCACGGACUCCCGGUCUGA